rnacentral:rRNA from 1 species
AUUGAACGCUGGCGGCAGGCCUAACACAUGCAAGUCGAGCGGAGCGGCGGACGGGGGAGGGAUGCCUAUGAAUCUGCCUGUUAGUGGGGGAUAACGUCCGGAAACGGGAGCUAAUGCCGCAUACUAUCAGAUGAGCCUAGGGCGGAUUAGCUAGUUGGUGGGGUAAAGGCCUACCAAGGCGACGAUCCGUAACUGGUCUGAGAGGAGGAUCAGUCACACUGGAACUGAUACACGGUCCAGACUCCUACGGGAGGCAGCAGUGGGGAAUAUUGGACAAUGGGCGCAAGCCUGAUCCAGCCAUGCCGCGUGUGUGAAGAAGGCCUUCGGAUUGUAAAGUACUUUAAGCUGGGAGGCGUUACCAGCAGAAGAAGCACCGGCUAACUCCGUGCCAGCAGCCGCGGUAAUUC